AGUGAACGCUGGCGGUAGGCCUAACACAUGCAAGUCGAACGGCAGCACAGUAAGAGCUUGCUCUUACGGGUGGCGAGUGGCGGACGGGUGAGGAAUACAUCGGAAUCUACUUUUUCGUGGGGGAUAACGUAGGGAAACUUACGCUAAUACCGCAUACGACCUACGGGUGAAAGCAGGGGAUCUUCGCACCUUGCGCGAUUGAUUGAGCCGAUGUCGGAUUAGCUAGUUGGCGGGGUAAAGGCCCACCAAGGCGACGAUCCGUAGCUGGUCUGAGAGGAUGAUCAGCCACACUGGAACUGAGACACGGUCCAGACUCCUACGGGAGGCAGCAGUGGGGAAUAUUGGACAAUGGGCGCAAGCCUGAUCCAGCCAUACCGCGUGGGUGAAGAAGGCCUUCGGGUUGUAAAGCCCUUUUGUGGGAAAGAAAAGCAGCAGGUUAAUACCCCGCUGUUCUGACGGUACCCAAAGAAUAAGCACCGGCUAACUUCGUG
rnacentral:rRNA from 1 species